rnacentral:rRNA from 1 species
AUUGAACGCUGGCGGUAUGCUUAACACAUGCAAGUCGAACGGUAACAGCAUCUAGCUUGCUAGAUGGCUGACGAGUGGCGGACGGGUGAGUAACGCGUAGGGAUCUGUCUAGAAGAUUGGGACAACACGGGGAAACUCGUGCUAAUACCGAAUACGCUCUACGGAGGAAAGGCGGGAUUUAUCCUGUCGCUUUUGGGUGAACCUGCGUUGGAUUAGCUUGUUGGUGGGGUAAUGGCCUACCAAGGCAUCGAUCCAUAGCUGUUCUGAGAGGAAGAUCAGCCACACUGGGACUGAGACACGGCCCAGACUCCU